CCCAUCCCCAACCUGAUCUUUUCUUAAAAAUUGGGAGCCAUCUCGCCAUAAAGCCAUGAAAAGAUAAUUUCGGCUUUACUAUAAAUUACUACAAAUUCUGAACCUGCUUGGAAUGCCUGCCCUGGCCUUGAACUCACCCCUGCCUGGCUCUCUGACCAGAUAGCAGCAGAUAGAUCUCUUCUGAUGACAGAGAGGUGGCCUGGCGAGGCUCACAUAUACUCCUGUCCGGGACAGUAACGAGAAUCCUUCUGUCCUCUGUUCUGUUCUGUAGGGAAUUCCCCUGGAAGGGUAGAGAGGUGCCGACGGGCACGCACGCGCUCCUACCCCGGGAGCUUUCGCAAGACAAGACGUUGCAUUGCUCCUCUGUUUUUCUGUUUCGGCGCCGGGUUUCUGUUUUCUUGUGUUUUGUUCUGUGUUCUAUAUGUUUUUUGUUUGUUUGUUUUUGUGCCUUUUGUUGUGUGAUUUCUGUGGUAAAAACUUAAGGAUAUUGGACGUGAAAAUGGGUAAUAAAGCAAGUAAGCCUGACACCCCUUUGGACUGUGUUUUAAGGAACUGCAAUGAACUUUACCCCCCUUUGUUAAGCAGGUGAGAGAAGCCCCUAGCUGGCUGCUGGAGCACACCCACUGCAGAGGGCAAUGCCUGCUGGGGAUAUGAGAACUGAGUAUCUCCCAGGUUAACAAGUGAGACUCCUUUAAAACCCCUUGUCCCUCCAGAUCAAGAGAGUCGCAAGCUUUGGGCAGAGUCCCCUGUGUUUCUCCUUUGUUAGCAAAGCAAUAAACCUCCCUUUUUCUUUUUCUCAAAACCCUGUCCUCAUUAUUAAAUUGGCAUUAAUUGGCUUCAAGGUCAGGAACUGAACUUUCAGUUACAAAUUUUGAUACCAACCCCCCCCCCCCGAACUUUUUGAGAGCUGACUACUGAAAUGUUAGGAGAUGGAAAGUGCCAAACCAGAGGAGCUAAUCCUGUAAGUAAAAGGAGGGACUGAGGGACUCCCAGCAGCUGCCCAAGCCCUGUUGCUUCAGGGAAUUCCCUCCUUCCUUCCCUGCACUGUAAGGAUUAUGCCACCUCUGUCUUCUUAAAAAAAAAGAGAAAGAGAAAAAGGGGACACUAAAUGCAGUAAAGUCGCCACCGAGACCCUUGAUUUUACAUUUCAGGUUGCCCCUCUGUGAAAACAUCUGGUCCCCUUUUGGGGACAUCUAUGGUGCCACUGGUGUAGGAGAUUUUUCUCUUAUCUUCUCUGUUUUAAAGGUUUCUGUCUGUCAUCCAUAGUCUGGAGCUCCUUUCUGUCUGUCUGUCUUGUGUCUUUGUUUCUGGCCCUUUAAGACAUGGGCAAUAGCAGUGUUGAUAUUAUAGAUUGUUUCUUGGGAAUGAUCUUGGCUGAAUGUGUGUCUAAAAGAUGAUGUUUCAUUGUAACAAUCUGGUAUCUGAAUGGGUUUUGAAGCAUUGCACAAUCUUGCAGUUAAAAGUUGGGUUUAGGUAAUUGUUUAGUUUAUGAUUUCAGAUAAUUCAUGCCAGAGAACUUAAAUACUUAGGAUGGAAAACUAAAGAACUCUACUUCCAAGUUGGCAAGUAACUUCCCAAUCAUUCAGGUUUUUGUUUUUUUUUCACCAGUUUUGAAUUGGGUAGCCUGGGAAGAUGUCACUGUGGGUACCAGUGCAUUAAUUUGGACAAGGAUAGUAAAUCAUAGUAUGGGAUCUGUUGACAAAACAAGAUGUAAAGAUAUAGAAUUUUGUGAAUUGUAUCUUAAAUUUGUAUCAUAAUUUUCAACAUCUGAACCUGAAUAUUAUGACUUAAGGUUAAAAUGCCUUAGGCCUGAGGUGUCUGCUCAGAACAGCAGCUUUUCCCGGCUCCUUCAGACCUCAGCCAGGACUUAGGUUGAAAUGCAAAUGAAAGAAGCCUGCAAGCUCAGUAGGAGACUCAUCUGAGGCCUAAGGGGAAAAAAAAAAAAAGUAAAUUGUGUGGUA
rnacentral:lncRNA from 1 species